UGUUUCGAGAGGUGGAAUUUUUUUAUGGACUCACAGAUAUGAAAGAGUAUUACGUGAAGAUAUAAAUAAUAGCAUGUAAAUAUUUGGUUGCCAAACCUCUUUGAAAUAGUGAAAAAAAAAUAUAGUUAAACAUUGCCUAUGAGAUUCGAACCCACAUUUCUUACAAACAAGUUAGGCUUAAUAUUGUUAGGCCACAGAUAUCUCAAGAAAAUCUGUCUCCGUUUUAGGAACUUCCUUCUUACCAGUGAAAAUUGUAUGUUACUGAUGCCAAACGAAUUUGCAGACACACAGCUAUAAUAUAAAGAGCUGCCAAUCAGCUGCAUUCUGGCAGCCAUUCAAAAUCAUCUCAGGAAAACGGGGAUCGUAUUUGCAAGCACAAGGCAAGUGGUACUUAAUGUAUGGACCCCAAAAGGAUGAAAGGCUUAGUCGACUUCGGCGGAAUAUGAAUGUAACGGCAGACGACGAAAUACCGCUAUGCAUUUCGCUUGGCGUGUGAAAAUUGUUGACAAUGCAUAGAAUGUAUCACUCUAAGGCAGAUAUGGAACAGCUUUACCUGCCAUGAAAUGAGGGUGGUCAUGGACUUUUACAACUGGAAUUAACAAUGAAGACUGCCAUAAUUGGUUUGAACACCUACCUGAAAAACUUUGACGACUGGAUGUUAAAUCAUACAUUAGAGCAUGAAAACAAGAAAGCAUCAUACUCAGUAAAAAAAAAUACAGGCAAAGGAAUAUCUAAGUGAAUUCCAAAUACAAAAAAUUCCAGAAAUAGAUAUACUAAUACUAGAAAAUAGCACAGAAAAAACUAAGCGUAUGAAAACUCGUGCUAAAACUGCUGACUUAGAUAUUCUUAUUGAUAAAUGGUAAGAAAAAUCUCUCAGUGGCAAAUACGAAAAGAGAGCUAAUAUUGCCGAUGCUGUCAAAGCACUUACCCAUCAAUGAUUAGUGGCUUCUGGCUUAAAAUCAGAAACAGAAGGGUUUAUCUUAGCAGCCCAGUAUCAAUGCUUACCUAUUUGCAUCAAUCUUCCUGUCAGUUUGAACGGUGAAGUUUUAGACGAGAGAGAUGAGAUCAUUUUCAAGCACUGGAGGAACUACUAGGCCAACAUAUAAGGAAAUGACAGUAGACAAACAUGUAUGUAAACAACAAAAUGUAACCAUUGAUCAUAUUGUUUCCAUAUGCAGCCUUCUUGCGCCUACAGAUGAUCUCUACAGGCAUGAUAGGGCAGCAAAAUAUAUUCGCUGGGUAAUUUGCAAAAAUCUGGACCUGCCCCGUGAUAAAAAAAAAACUGGUGGGAACACAAACCACCUCUCAUCUCAGUCGUCUAGAACUUCACCGUUCAAACUGACAGGAAGAUUGAUUUAAAUAGGCCAGACAUUAUAUUGAAAGACUUCAUUGAUAUGACUGUCGCAAUUGACAUAAAUGUAUCCGUCAAGACCUACCAAAAACUGAGCAAGUAUAAAGAUCUUGAAAUAGAAAUUGGCAAAAUGUGGAAACUCAAGACUAAAAUAAUACCUGCUGUCAUAGGUGCCCUAGGAAUGAUAGCAAAAGGGGCUAAUUCCUACCUAGCCUAGAUACCAGGAAAAUCAAAAAUGGUCGAAAUUCAAAAGAGAGUGCUUAUGGGAACUGCCUAUUCCCUACGUAAAAUAUUGUCUGUGUAUUCUCAAAUUUUGAAACGUUGGAGAAAUAUUUAAGAAUAAAUUAACAGUGAAUAUAAAACAUCUACUUUAUACCAAAUAUUUUAUACCCAAUGUUUAAAUCAUUUACUCUUAAUUUGGGUCUGAUGUCGAAGGAACAUGCAGUUAGCUGUUUCUUUGAA